AGCGAACGCUGGCGGCAGGCCUAACACAUGCAAGUCGAACGAACUCUUCGGAGUUAGUGGCGGACGGGUGAGUGACACGUGGGAACGUGCCUUUAGGUUCGGAAUAACUCAGGGAAACUUGUGCUAAUACCGAAUGUGCCCUUCGGGGGAAAGAUUUAUCGCCUUUAGAGCGGCCCGCGUCUGAUUAGCUGGUUGGUGAGGUAAAGGCUCACCAAGGCGACGAUCAGUAGCUGGUCUGAGAGGAUGAUCAGCCACAUUGGGACUGAGACACGGCCCAAACUCCUACGGGAGGCAGCAGUGGGGAAUCUUGCGCAAUGGGCGAAAGCCUGACGCAGCCAUGCCGCGUGAAUGAUGAAGGUCUUAGGAUUGUAAAAUUCUUUCACCGGGGACGAUAAUGACGGUACCCGGAGAAGAAGCCCCGGCUAACUUCGUGCCAGCAGCCGCCGUAA
rnacentral:rRNA from 1 species